rnacentral:rRNA from 1 species
CCUACGGGGUUAGGCGCCUGACCUUCGGGCCUUCCGCGAUUGGAUGAACCUAGGUGGGAUUAGCCGGCUGGGGAGGUAAUGGCUCUUCCGGCUGACGAUCCCCAGCUGUUCUGAGAGGAUGCUCAGCCUAACUGGGACUGAGCCCUAGUCCAACUCUAAUACGGGAGGCAGCUUAUGGGGAAUAUUGCACAAUGGGGGAAACCCUGAUGCAGCCAUGCCGCGUGUGUGAAGAAGGCCUUCGGGUUGUAAAGCACUUUCAGUAGGGAGGAAAGGUAGCAGCUUAAUACGCUGUUGCUGUGACGUUACCUACAGAAGAAGGACCGGCUAACUCCGUGCCAGCAGCCGCGGUAAUACGGAGGGUCCGAGCGUUAAUCGGAAUUACUGGGCGUAAAGCGUGCGCAGGCGGUUUGUUAAGCGAGAUGUGAAAGCCCCGGGCUCAACCUGGGAAUUGCAUUUCGAACUGGCGAACUAGAGUCUUGUAGAGGGGGGUAGAAUUCCAGGUGUAGCGGUGAAAUGCGUAGAGAUCUGGAGGAAUACCGGUGGCGAAGGCGGCCCGCUGGACAAAGACUGACGCUUAGGCACGAAAGCUUGGGAGCAAACAGGAUUAGAUUCCCUGGUUGUCCACGCCGUAAACGAUGUCUACUCGGAGUUUGGUGUCUUGAACGCGUGGCUCUCAAGCUAACGCAUGAAGUAGACUGCCUGGGGAGUACGGCCGCAAGGUUAAGACUCAAAUGAAUUGUCGGGGGCCCGCACAAGCGGUGGAGCAUGUGGUGUAAUUCGAUGCAACGCGAAGAACCUGACCUACUCUUGACAUACACCGAAUUCGCUAGAGAUAGCGUAGUGCCUUCGGGAACCCUGAGACAGGUGCUGCAUGGCCGUCGUCAGCUCGUGUUGUGAAAUGUCGGGUUAAGUCCCGCAACGAGCGCAACCCCUAUCCUUAUUUGCCAGCACGUACUGGUGGGAACUCUAGGGAGACAGCCGGUGAUAAACCGGAGGAAGGUGGGGACGACGUCAAGUCAUCAUGGUCCUUACGAGUAGGGCGACACACGUGCUACAAUGGCGAGUACAGAGGGUUGCAAAGCCGCGAGGUGGAGCUAAUCUCACAAAGCUCGUCGUAGUCCGGAUUGGAGUCUGCAACUCGGACUCCAUGAAGUCGGAAUCGCUAGUAAUCGUGGAUCAGAAUGCCACGGUGAAUACGUUCCCGGGCCUCGUACACACCGCCCGUC